GGAGGUUACUGCUAUCGGUGUUCGCCUAACCCAUGCGAGUCAUAUGUUCUUCGUGAACAUGGCGUACUGCUCAGUAACACGUGAAUAACCUGCCCUUGGGACCGGCAUAACCCCGGGAAACUGGGGAUAAUUCCGGAUACCGCAUAUAUGCUGGAAUGCUUUAUGCGUGAAAUGGAUUCGUCUGCCCAAGGAUGGAUCUGCGGCCUAUCAGGUAGUAGUGGGUGUAAUGUACCUACUACCCUACGACGGGUACGGGUUGUGAGAGCAAGAGCCCGGAAAUGGAUUCUGAAACAUGAAUCCAGGCCCUACGGGGCGCACCAC
rnacentral:rRNA from 1 species